CAAAAACCUUCUGGACAGGAAAGGUGACUUCACUGGCGACAUCUGUAGGCUGUUAAUGUCUUAGUCACUCUUCCACUGCUGUGAAGAAACAUCUUGACCAAGUGACUCCACCGAAGCAGGAAGUCACAGAAGUUGAUUCCCUGAAAAGAAACCUCCUCACUGGCCAGCAGGCUGUCCACUAUUGAAAAGCUGCUCAAGUUGCAUGUGUCAGCUCCACUUCAACAUAACACUACUUGCAUUCCUGCUUGGACCAGGAUGCAGGGAUCCCAUAGGAAAUCCAAAGCCAUUCCUACAGAACACGGUUUUAGCCUCUUGGCAAAAGGUUUGAACCCAGAAUACACACAGAACAAGGAACUGACACCAUUAUUAGAUGGAUCACCUAAUUCAUGUGUAAGAGAAGGACUCAUCUGUCCCAUGCACUCAUUCAGGAGUAUUCCAAGGGAUCCUGGAUACCCUGAGGAUCACCAUCCUGAGCUAGCUGGGGACUGCUGCUCAGGAGGUGCAGGCAGCAGACAUGUUCGAGGGGACCACUCAGCAGACGUACACCCCCUGUUGUCCCAGGCACUGAAAUCCUCCUGUGGGAGAAGGGCUCCCUCUGUGUCUGGCACAUGAGUCUCUGGACAGUGCGUCACUGAAGACGAAUUUAUCCCA